GACUCCGGUAUCCCCCUUCCAGCUGAGUCACCCAAGAAAGGUCCCAAGAAGAUGACAUCCGGUGUCCUCUCACCUCCAAACGCCCCUCCGCCCAGCAGCUCCAGUGUCCCUGAAGCUGGGGGUCCUCCCAUAAAGAAACAGAAGGCUGGUGAGGGCUGUGGAGUUGCUGCCUAGGACAGCCUGACCCUGGACUCUGGCCUUCUCUCGACCUCUGCUGAUGCUCCUCUACUCUCCUGCUGAGCCUUCCACCUCUGACCCUCAUUGUUCACCCUGGACCUGUGGAUCGCCUGGGACUCUAAGCAAGGACUGCACGAGAGAGGGUCAGAGGGCUGCUGGAGCUACCCGCCCUGUUCCUGAUAACCACCUCACCCUUUGACUUCUGUCUGAUGGACGUUUUUAUACAGAAAAUUAUAAUUAAAAAUAAUUCUCUCA
rnacentral:lncRNA from 1 species